rnacentral:sRNA from 1 species
GCCGAGGCCUUUCAAAGGCUUGGCAUGGCGGGCGCCGGCGGGUGUCCGGCGCUCUCACGUCCAUGUUGCUCAAUGGAGGAUAUGGUGAUGAGAU